GUGCAGGGGACAGCCCUGUCCCCCAGCCCGGGCCCCACUGUUCCCACCCACAGCGGGUGCCGGGGCGCGGCUCGGGGCUGCUGGCUCUGCCAUGGUGUCUCGUGGUGUCCGUCUGUCUGUCUGUCUGUCUCCACAACGUCUCCUUUCUCUUUCCUCCCCGUGUGCCUGUCACCCAAGGAGUUAUCCCUGAAUCCCUGGCGCCGUAGUGAUAAGAAGGCCGAUGGUGGCCAAGCCCCCCCCGAUCCCACUGCCAAGAAGGAGCCACCGGCGGUGGUGAACGGGAAGGAUGAGGAGCAAAGCACCGAGGAAAACCUUGGAAAAGGGGGGACAGACCGGACAACCACCAACGCCGACCAGGAUGCCCCCAAGGAGAAGGAGACAGUGACCAGCAACCCCGUGUCCCCCGACGGUUCACCCUCCAAAUCACCCUCCAAAAAGAAGAAGAAAUUCCGGACCCCGUCUUUCCUGAAAAAAGGCAAAAAGAAGGAAAAGAUCGAGUCCUGAGUGUCCUGUGGCCUCACCAGGGAUCCUGGCAUCGCCGGGACCCCGAGGCGCGGCUCUAAACCCCAGAACCCGGCUGCUUCCCGGGCCCGAGGCACCUCGUCCCCCUUAUCACCCGCCUCUGGGGGCUGUCACCGGGCUCAGAGAGACCGUGGUCCCCGUCUGGGGAAGCUCCCGCUGCACCUCCCUGCCCCUCUCCCUCCUGGGCUCCGGCCCCUUCCCACACCGUGGGCCGAGGGCUGGACUGUCUCCACCAGAGCCCAGAUCUGCUUGGUUUGAGGAAGAAAAGGGUGUUUCGUGGUUAUUCUCUUCACCUUCUGUUUCAAGCUCUGCUGGAAUGGCGCCGGCUUCAUCCCCAGGGAAAACUGUCCAUCGCUUCACCAGGAGAACAGGAUCGAGCUGAAGGCUUUUCCUGAAGAGGAGCUGAGGUUUUUCCUCCCCGGAUUGUAAACCUUCCUCCCCGUGGGCUCAAGAACCACUUCCUCCCCUUCUCCUGGUAGCCCCAGCCCGUGUUUUCCCCACCCAAGGAAGAGCAGCAGGAUUUCCCACCGCUGGAAAAGCCCCCACCUCACUGCACGACCCGCACCUGGGAAAAUAGGGAAAAGAACCCCACACCCCUCCGGGACUUGUCUGUGUUAUUUAAAACUGAGCAAAACUCAC
rnacentral:lncRNA from 1 species